UACGAAGGGGGCUAGCGUUGUUCGGAUUUACUGGGCAUAAAGCGCGCGCAGGCGGUCUUCCAAGUCAGUGGUGAAAGCCCGGAGCUCAACUCCGGAACUGCCAUUGAAACUGUUAGACUUGAGGAUGAGAGAGGUGAGUGGAAUUCCCAGUGUAGAGGUGAAAUUCGUAGAUAUUGGGAAGAACACCGGUGGCGAAGGCGGCUCACUGGCUCAUUACUGACGCUCAGGCGCGAUAGCGUGGGGAUCAAACAGG
rnacentral:rRNA from 1 species